GUCAGGAUGGCCGAGUGGUCAAAGGCGGCAGACUCAAGCUCCGUAUGUUGAUGUGGGUUCAAAUCCCACUUCUGACA